GUGGCGUUAGUGUAGAGGUUCGCACGAAAGUCUGUGGAACUUUCAGUAUGGGUUCGAUCCCCAUACGCCACCCCA
rnacentral:tRNA from 1 species